CACUUUGUCCAAAAGUAAUCCAUCACAUUAGACAGUGCAUCUUUAUAGUCAGAAGGUUGCUUCUGGUUUCGAGGCAGUUUUUGUUGAGAACCAAUUUAGCUACGUCUGACACUUAUUGUAUUUGAAUGCGAUAGCUGAUGGAGAGAGUGAAGUGGAUCUUUUAAGAACCUGUCUGGAUCGAAAGAUUUGAAAGAGAGGUGUCAGGAGAUCCACACAUUG
rnacentral:snoRNA from 1 species